CUGUAUCUCGGCUAGAGCCUUGGGCAGUGUGAGCUGGCAGGGCAGAUCGCUGAAGGCGGCUAGAGAUAGAAAACCACCCAGCUCUGCAUCCUGAGACAAAGAAGCCUUUCCCUGGGCUCAUAUGAUAGAGGUACGUUGCCUCUGGGCCUCAGUUUUGCCAUCUGUAAAAUAGGGUGAAGGUCAGACUAGAUUGGGCAUAUUCAGUGUGGGAUCCCCCUAAUGACGGCAUCAGCAUCACCUGGGAAACUGCAAAUUCUCCUUUAUGACAGUGGCUCUCAAACUUUAAUGUGCAUUGAAACCAUCUGGAGGAGAGGAGCGUUUCCCACUUGAGAACCACACAGCGGGAUCAGGGAGGGGCGAACUAUAGUCCACCGGCCAAAUCUGGCCAUGGCCUGCUUUUUAUGGCCCAUGAGCUAAGAAUAGUUUUUUCCAUUUUUCAGUAGUUGGGGAAAAAAAUCAAAGAAUAUUUUGUGACAUAUACAAAUUAUAUGAAAUUCAAAUCUCAGUGUCCAUAAAUAAGGUUUCGUUGGCACACAGUCACUCUCAGUCAUUUGCAUAUCGUCUACGGCUGCUUUUUCCGCUAUGAAGACAGAGUGGAGGCGCUUGCUCUCCUGGUUACAUGCUGCUGCUCACGCCCUACACCUCGCAGGGAUGUGGUUAAACUCGGCUUUGCCUCUUGGCCUGCAGAGCCUAAAAUAUUUACUAUCUGGCCCUUCAUACCAGACAUUUGCCGACCCUCAUCUACAGAGAGAAGGGAAAGGAAGAGAACGGGAGGGGAGGGGAGGGGAAAGGAGGGGGAAGGGGAGAGAAGGGGUUUGUGCAAGAGCUGGGGUCCCUUCUGGGGAAAAAAUGAGCUGUCAGGGGCUUUUGGAAUCUGAGAGAGUCCUGCUCUGCGCUGGGCCAACAUUUGGAAUCUUUUGCACAGUUGCUUUGAGGGUGAUCUGGAAGGCCCCUCUGACCAAUAAAGACCUUCCCUCUUGCCUGUAUGAAAACCUAACAUUCCACUUCUAGAGCAGGGGCUCUUACCUGGGAAGCCCCCCAUCCAGAGGCCAGGCUUCGGGGGUUCUAGGUAAGCUUUUAAGCAUGCAGGUGUUUUCUGGGGAGAGUUUGGUGGCGCCAGUGACCUUCCCUACCCCUCCCAAAUCCCAAGCACCCUUUUUGUUCCUUUGGGGCACACAUUUUUCUCUCCCCACCCCUCCUUUCAAAAUGUGAAAGUCCCCGGAAGGGGGACACUGUGCACCUACAUCUUCCUACCUAGGAAAGGGGUGAGGUGAUCUGAUGGGACUAGGCAGGCUUUAGGAACGUCCAAGGAGUCUGAGGAGAGGUGGAGGGCGGCGGGGGCAGGGGGGCAUUUAGAGAGAGGAAAUGGGAAAGAGGGCAUCUUUCCCAGAGGGCUGCAGGACCUCCGAGCCCACACUAUCUGUACUCAUCCACUUCUCCGCAUCAGCAAGAGGCAUCCAAGACUCGCAGCCCACACGGCUACCCUCCCACCCUCACUGGUGGGCACUUCCACUCCCCAGGCCCCACGAGGCCUCCCGCCUGCAGCGUUAGCCAAGCAAGUCUCAACUCUGGCCCUGGGAUUCCAGGUAUUUUCCCAGCCAGCCGCACCUCAUCUAAUUGCUUUCCAGUCAGCUAAUCCCUGGCCCACGCCCUCCACUCCAGCCAGGCAAGCCACCUCUGUGUGGCCAGCAGGAGCUUCUGAGACUUCCCAUGGCAUGCAUCCAAGCCUGGGGCAGCCUCUCGCCUCCCCUUGCCCAAACCACAUCCUCUUUGCCCUUCCCCACACCUCAAACUCUCCUCUGACUAACAUUUCCAAAAAAAGUAGAGCUUGGUCCAGUCCAGACCAAAAGCGGCAGACUAAUUCAUUCCCUACCACCUCCGCCCCCCAGACUCAGCACUUCCUGACUAUCAGGAAAGAACAAUCAGCAAAAAGUGGAGCUGUACCUACUGUUCAAUUUCUAGAGCUAAUUGUUUUCAGCAGGGUUUUGGCCUUAAUUAAAGGAUAAUUAAUUACUGAAUGUGUGUUUGCAUUUCCACAAGUGUGUUUGCGUUUCCUAAGUCUGGCUUUUAACCCUGGGAAACCAGAUUCAGCAAAUACUUUCAUGUUUCAAUACUUCUGAGUAAGGGAGAAGGUCUUAAUUACAGAAAUGGUAGUCCUGUGUAAUCAAGGGGCAAUGCAAGAAUGAGCUAAUUGUGCCUUCCACACACUCGGCCACGAUUUCUGUCGAGCUGCUGUGAGGAGAGGGUGGCAGCUGCCCAGCCCUGCCCAGCACUGUGUCCCUAUCCGUGGAUUCUCUUAUCCCUGUCACGCAACUGGCCACCCCUGCCACAGCCCUUCUCUUCCCUUUCUAUGUGUUUCUUCUUUC
rnacentral:lncRNA from 1 species